rnacentral:misc_RNA from 1 species
AGCGCGCAUUGUAGUGACUAGUGUCAUUAUGAGGAGCAUCUUAUUUUGUAAAUCGUUUGAUAAAUUAUUUUAGUAGACACAUGGCAUUUGUUAUCCCACUUUACAACUAAGGUUAUAUAUGAGUUAUUUAUACUAUUUUACAACUUGCUGCUUUAGAGGCAUGGCAUUUAGUGUCACAUUGUAGGUUUAAGUUGGUCGUAGAAUUUAUACUGUAACUUUUGCAUUUAUUUAGUUAAGUUUCAACUAAGUUUACAUCUGAUGUGUUUGUAUUAUGUUAGAAUUUGCUGUUUUAGACACGUGGCAUGUGGUAUCCCACUAUACUUGGUAUAUGUUGUCAUACUAAUUCACUGUUUUAGACACGUGGCUUGUGAUAUCCCACUAAUUAGCUAUUUUAAACAUGUGACAAGUGGUAUGACCCUGUAUUGAUGUAUGUGAAAUGUCUUUCAGUUAUCAGAAGUGUCAAGGAGUUGACAGUAUGGUGUCUGAUUUGAACCUGUGAUGGUGUCCGAUUUGAACCUGUAGAGAAGUAACAACAAUAUUCAAAACCAAAACCUAUUUAAAACAACCAAACCAAAACUAUCGACCAAAAACUAAUAUCUUGGCAUUGAUUUAUAUUAAACAUCUAUUAUAUAUAUGCGUGUGUUUUAUAUAAAUGUACUAGCUUGAGUAUAGUGUAUUUAAAAUAUUUUUUUCAACUAUUUUUAUUGAAGUUAUACUUAGUAUAAUGUAUUGUUAGUAUUUUAUAUACUUAGUAUUGUAAUAUACUUAGUAUUUUAUUGUAGUAUAGCUUGAGUAUAGUGUAUCUAAAAUAUUUUUUUUUCAACUAUUUUUAUUGUAAUUUAAAGUAUAUUGGAUUAAAUAUUAUAAAUA